UUCACAGGUAUCUAGUUUGACUUUAUGAAUCUCUAAAAAGUUUAUAUAUGCUCUAGAAGUUAAUAAAUAUUAUCAUAAGUAAGAAAGUGUGUAGGGGAUAUUUUAAUUCCUAACCGCGCAGCUUCAGCUCAUGCCACAGCAGCUGUAUGGAAUGAACCACACAGCUGUGUGGGUUACCAUGGCAACAAAUCAUCAGGAUGCAUGGGCCACAGAUCCCAAGACUCACCAGACACCUGCAUCUUAACCAAGCCAGAUGUGACUAACACUGACCCCAUGAAAUUAUCAUGCCCCAAAAACUGUCACCCUGGAUCCACAGAAAAAAAAAGUGUUAGCAUUUGUAUUCCAAUACAGCAGCGCACUAAUACACACGCAGGCCAUAAACCUUUCUCCUGUACUCUAUGUUCUGCUAAGUUUAGCCUUGCUGGUAAUCUGAAACGGCACUCUCUAACACACACUGUAGAAAAACCUUUCUCUUGUACAGUAUGUUCUGCUAAGUUUAGCCAGGCUAGUACUCUGAAGCGGCACUCUCUUACACACACUGGAGAAAAACCUUUCUCUUGUUCUGUAUGUUCUGCUAAGUUUAGCCAUGCUGGUAAUCUGAAGCGGCACUCUCUAACACACACUGGAGAAAAACCUUUCUCUUGUUCAGUAUGUACUGCUAAGUUUAGCCGGGCUAGUCAUCUGAAGCAGCACUCUCUAACACACACUGGAGAAAAACCUUUCUCUUGUUCUGUAUGUUCUGCUAAGUUUAGCCAUGCUGGUAAUCUGAAGCAGCACUCUCUAACACACACUGGAGAAAAACCUUUCUCUUGUACUGUAUGUUCUGCUAAGUUUAGCCAUGCUAGUAAUCUGAAGUGGCACACUCUAACACACACUGGUGAAAAACCUUUCUCCUGUACUGUAUGUUCUGCUAAGUUUGGCCAGGCUAGUCAUCUGAAGGAGCACUCUUUUACACACACUGGAGAAAAACAUUUCCUUAUGUGAUAUUACAUCUCUCAAUAUUGAAUAUUUUAUUAUUUUUUCAUCCCGACCAUAAAUAAUAAUUCUUUGCGAAAUUACAUUUGUAUUAAUUGCUCUAUGCAAUAGUGAUUUAACUUCUAUGAUGAAAAGACAAAAGUAAUGUUUGUGCUAUGGUAAAAGGAAUUUUAAAAAAGGAAAGACUGACUUUUUUUGGUAAAUUAAGUUUAAGGACGUGUUUAAGUAUUUGGAUGUAAUUGGUAAUUGAAGCAAGACUUUGAGUUAAAUGAAGAGGUAUUACAAUUUGCAAUAUAUUGAUUUAUUGAAGUUAUACAAAAGUACUGUCGGCGUAAUUACACGCUUUAUAUUAGCUUCACCUGUAUGUUUGUUUGUAUGUUUGUAACCGACUCCUUUGGGUGCGAUUUUGACCCACUUUAAACGGCUAGAUUUCAUUCUUACUUUGUAGAUUUAUCGAGGACCGAUGACCAUACACUAAUUUGAUAAGAUUAUUCCAUUAUUCAAUUUGUAAAAUAAGAUUUUUGUCAAUUUAUAUAAUUUCAAUAUAUUUAGUAGGCUUUGUUUAUAUCGUGCCAAAGACAAAAUGAAAAAAAAAAGAGUUCACACAUUGUAACGAAAACCUUUUCGCUCAUGUGCAAACUCUUUUCUUUCAGUUUGUCUUUGGCGCGAUAUAACAAAGCCUACUAAAUAUUUUGACAUUUAAUUAAAUGAAAAGUGAGAGUGGGUUAUGAUUAUUGUGAACAAUAAACUUUCUUGAAGAGAAUAUUAUCUAUAUUUGUAAAUAUAUGAAAAAAAUAACCUGAAAUAAGGGCUUUAAAUGUUGCUUCUUUCGUUAAAUAGAGAAACACAAUUA